rnacentral:pre_miRNA from 1 species
AGUGUAAUUGCUGGAUUGUAUGGUAUGAGUGUUUAAUUUUGUAAGAAACUGCCAAACUGUCUUCCAGAGUAGCUGUACCACUUUACAUUCCCACCAGCAAU